UAGGGAAUCCUCGGCAAUGGACGAAAGUCUGACCGAGCAACGCCGCGUGAGUGAAGAAGGUUUCGAAUCGUAAAACUCUGUUGGUAGAGAAGAACGUUGGUGAGAGUGGAAAGCUCAUCAAGUGACGGUAACUACCCAGAAAGGGACGGCUAACUACGUGCCAC
rnacentral:rRNA from 1 species